rnacentral:tRNA from 1 species
GCCUGGCUGACUCAGUGGGUAGAGCAUACAACCCUUGAUCUUGGGGUCAUGGGUUCAAGCCCCAUGUUGGGCG